GACGAACGCUGGCGGCGUGCCUAAUACAUGCAAGUUGAGCGAUGAAGAUUGGUGCUUGCACCAAUUUGAAGAGCAGCGAACGGGUGAGUAACGCGUGGGGAAUCUGCCUUUGAGCGGGGGACAACAUUUGGAAACGAAUGCUAAUACCGCAUAACAACUUUAAACAUAAGUUUUAAGUUUGAAAGAUGCAAUUGCAUCACUCAAAGAUGAUCCCGCGUUGUAUUAGCUAGUUGGUGAGGUAAAGGCUCACCAAGGCGAUGGUACAUAGCCGACCUGAGAGGGUGAUCGGCCACAUUGGGACUGAGACACGGCCCAAACUCCUACGGGAGGCAGCAGUAGGGAAUCUUCGGCAAUAGACGAAAGUCUGACCGAGCAACGCCGCGUGAGUGAAGAAGGUUUUCGGAUCGUAAAACUCUGUUGGUAGAGAAGAACGUUGGUGAGAGUGGAAAGCUCAUCAAGUGACGGUAACUACCCAGAAAGGGACGGCUAACUACGUG
rnacentral:rRNA from 1 species